rnacentral:rRNA from 1 species
AUUGAACGCUGGCGGCAGGCCUAACACAUGCAAGUCGAGCGGAUGAAGGGAGCUUGCUCCUGGAUUCAGCGGCGGACGGGUGAGUAAUGCCUAGGAAUCUGCCUGGUAGUGGGGGAUAACGUCCGGAAACGGGCGCUAAUACCGCAUACGUCCUGCGGGAGCAAGUGGGGGAUCUUCGGACCUCACGCUCUCAGAUGAGCCUAGGUCGGAUUAGCUAGUUGGUGGGGUAAAGGCCUACCAAGCCGACGAUCCGUAACUGGUCUGAGAGGAUGAUCAGUCACACUGGAGCUUAGACACGCUCCAGGCGCCUACGGGAGGCAGCAGUGGGGAAUAUUAGACAGUGGGCGAGAGCAUGAUCCAGCGGUGCCACGUGUGUGAAGAAGGUGCUCGGAUUGUAAAGCCGUCUAUGUUGGGAGGAAGGGCAGUAAGUUAAUACCUUGCUGGAUUGACGUUAACAACAGAAGAAGCACCGGCUAACUACGUG